UACGAAGGGGGCUAGCGUUGCUCGGAAUCACUGGGCGUAAAGGGUGCGUAGGCGGGUCUUAAGUCAGGGGUGAAAUCCUGGAGCUCAACUCCAGAACUGCCUUCGAUACUGGAGAGCUUGAGUCCGGGAGAGGUGAGUGGAACUGCGAGUGUAGAGGUGAAAUUCGUAGAUAUUCGCAAGAACAUCGGUGGCGAAGGCGGUCUGCUGGGCCGUUGCUGACGCUGAGGCGCGACAGCGUGGGGAGGCAACAGGAU
rnacentral:rRNA from 1 species